rnacentral:rRNA from 1 species
ACGGAAGGCAUCAGUGGGGAAUAUUGCACAAUGGGGGAAACCCUGAUGCAGCAACGCCGCGUGCGGGAAGACAGUCUUCGGAUUGUAAACCGCUUUUCUUAGUGAAGAAUUUUGACGGUAGCUAAGGAAUAAGCAUCGGCUAACUACGUGCCAGCAGCCGCGGUAAUACGUAGGAUGCAAGCGUUGUCCGGAUUUACUGGGUGUAAAGGGAGCGCAGGCGGGACUGCAAGUUGGAUGUGAAAUGUCGAGGCUUACCCUCGGAACUGCAUCCAAAACUGUAGUUCUUGAGUGUAGUAGAGGCAAGCGGAUUUCCGAGUGUAGCGGUGAAAUGCGUAGAUAUUCGGAGGAACACCAGUGGCGAAGGCGGCUUGCUGGGCUCUAUCUGACGCUGAGGCUCGAAAGUGUGGGG